UCUUGUCGCCUUUUAUAGCGGUAUUGCAGUAGGUAUAAAGUUAUCUACAAUUGUUAAAUACUUUCCGGAAAUGGGUUGUUUUUAUUUAAAUCAUUAGAUGAGACUCUAUGCAAACAACAACUACUACAAAACAUAUAUAUAUAUAUAGUGUUAAUAUCAACAAAAAGAUGUCAUCCUGACAGCAAGCAUUUGAGCAAGUACGGACACAACAUUUAAGCUCAAACAGCUCUAAACAAACACAUUUCAUAUACUUAUGUUAUCAUUACUGGUUCUUAAAAAUAAGUUUUGAGUUAUUUCCCUUUACAUAUAACAGAAAUUGUUUAACUAAUUGUUGAGCUAAUUUUCUAAAGUCAAAUAUGACAUAGUUCUCUAAAAAUAGAUAAGAUGUUACACAAUGUAUAUCUAUGUCUAAAUUAUAUUCAAAUAUAAUUAAAAGUUCCAAAUAUUGCGUCCUUGAUUUGUCACAAAGUAAUAUAGAUUUGCUAUUUAUCCGCUAUAAAACCAGGUUUAAUCCAAUAUUGUCUACAUACGAAAAUGUCUGUACUAAGUAAGGAUAAAGACAGUUGUUGUCCAUUUGUUUGAUGUGUUUAAUCUUUUGAUUUUGCCUUUUGGUUAGGGACUUUCCGAUACGAAUUUUUCUCUAUGUAAUGUAAUGAAAUAUAAUCUUUGCUAAAUGAA
rnacentral:lncRNA from 1 species